rnacentral:rRNA from 1 species
UAAGUCUCUGUUAAUAUCCAGGCUCAACCUGGAGGAGGGCAGGGAAACUGGCUAGCUUGAGCAUAGUAGAGGUAACUGGAAUUUCUAGUGCAGGAGUGAAAUCCGUAGAUAUUAGAAGGAACACCGAUGGCGUAGGCAGGUUACUGGGCUAUUGCUGACACUAAGGCACGAAAGCGUGGGGAGCGAGCGGGAUUAGAUACCCCGGUAGUCCACGCCCUAAACGAUGCAUGCUA